AAUAGAUACCCAGGUAGUCCACGCCGUAAACGAUGAGUGCUAAGUGUUAGAGGGUUUCCGCCCUUUAGUGCUGCAGCUAACGCAUUAAGCACUCCGCCUGGGGAGUACGGCCGCAAGGCUGAAACUCAAAGGAAUUGACGGGGGCCCGCACAAGCGGUGGAGCAUGUGGUUUAAUUCGAAGCAACGCGAAGAACCUUACCAGGUCUUGACAUCCCCUGCCAACCCUAGAGAUAGGGCGUUCCCCUUCGGGGGACAGAGUGACAGGUGGUGCAUGGUUGUCGUCAGCUCGUGUCGUGAGAUGUUGGGUUAAGUCCCGCAACGAGCGCAACCCUUGAUCUUAGUUGCCAGCAUUCAGUUGGGCACUCUAAGGUGACUGCCGGUGACAAACCGGAGGAAGGUGGGGAUGACGUCAAAUCAUCAUGCCCCUUAUGACCUGGGCUACACACGUGCUACAAUGGAUGGUACAAAGAGCAGCGAACCCGCGAGGGUAAGCCAAUCUCAUAAAGCCAUUCUCAGUUCGGA
rnacentral:rRNA from 1 species